rnacentral:snoRNA from 1 species
UUAUGGCCAACGAAGCCUGACGGUGCUCUUUUCCUCGUGGGGGCCCAGUGUGCAAAGGCUGCAAAGAGCAGCCUCCUUGGCAGUGCGUGUAUCCUGUUGCCUGCUCGGCUGGCCCUAAGGAACCUGGAGACAGCC